CCCCCAACGAACUGGUAUUAUCAACCCCCACCAGGGUUGAUCAACUUGCUGUGAAAGGCAUGUGGAACAAAUGAAGAGAAAAGGCAAGGAGACCCUAUUCCCUUUAAGUGUGCUACUUUUGACCAUUAAAAUGUUGACAUUUUAGUCAUUCAGCAGACGCUGUCAUCCAGAGUGACUUACAGUUGGUGCGUUCAUCUUAAGAUAGCUAGGUGGGACAACCACAUAUCACAGUCGUAGUGAGUACACUCAUCUUAAGAUAGCUAGGUGGAACAACCACAUAUCACAGUCGUAGUGAGUACACUCAUCUUAAGAUAGCUAGGUGGGACAACCACAUAUCACAGUCUUAGUGAGUACACUCAUCUUAAGAUAGCUAGGUGGAACAACCACAUAUCACAGUCGUAGUGAGUACACUCAUCUUAAGAUAGCUAGGUGGAACAACCACAUAUCACAGUCUUAGUGAGUACACUCAUCUUAAGAUAGCUAGGUGGGACAACCACAUAUCACAGUCGUAGUGAGUACACUCAUCUUAAGAUAGCUAGGUGGGACAACCACAUAUCACAGUCUUAGUGAGUACACUCAUCUUAAGAUAGCUAGGUGGGACAACCACAUAUCACAGUCGUAGUGAGUACACUCAUCUUAUGAUAGCUAGGUGGGACAACCACAUAUCACAGUCGUAGUGAGUACCCUCAUCUUAAGAUAGCUAGGUGGGACAACCACAUAUCACAGUCUUAGUGAGUACACUCAUCUUAAGAUAGCUAGGUGGGACAACCACAUAUCACAGUCGUAGUGAGUACACUCAUCUUAAGAUAGCUAGGUGGGACAACCACAUAUCACAGUCGUAGUGAGUACACUCAUCUUAAGAUAGCUAGGUGGGACAACCACAUAUCACAGUCGUAGUGAGUACACUCAUCUUAUGAUAGCUAGGUGGGACAACCACAUAUCACAGUCGUAGUGAGUACACUCAUCUUAAAAUAGCUAGGUGGGACAACCACAUAUCACAGUCGUAGUGAGUACACUCAUCUUAAGAUAGCUAGGUGGGACAACCACAUAUCACAGUCGUAGUGAGUACACUCAUCUUAAGAUAGCUAGGUGGGACAACCACAUAUCACAGUCUCAGUGAGUACACUCAUCUUAAGAUAGCUAGGUGGGACAACCACAUAUCACAGUCUUAGUGAGUACACUCAUCUUAAGAUAGCUAGGUGGGACAACCACAUAUCACAGUCGUAGUGAGUACACUCAUCUUAUGAUAGCUAGGUGGGACAACCACAUAUCACAGUUGUAGUGAGUACACUCAUCUUAAGAUAGCUAGGUGGGACAACCACAUAUCACAGUCGUAGUGAGUACACUCAUCUUAAGAUAGCUAGGUGGGACAACCACAUAUCACAGUCGUAGUGAGUACACUCAUCUUAAGAUAGCUAGGUGGGACAACCACAUAUCACAGUCGUAGUGAGUACACUCAUCUUAUGAUAGCUAGGUGGGACAACCACAUAUCACAGUCGUAGUGAGUACACUCAUCUUAAGAUAGCUAGGUGGGACAACCACAUAUCACAGUCGUAGUGAUAGCUAGGUGAGACAACCACAUAUCACAGUCGUAGUGAGUACGUUUUUCCUCAAUAAAGAAGUUAUCGGGCAAGUGUCGGAAAAAACGAAUGCAGUCGGAAAGGACUAGUGCUCUGGUCAAAAGUAGUGCACUAAAUAGGGAAUAGGGUGUUACUUGGGACCCAGCCUCUGUCCUUAGUGGCGUGGUCAGUAGCUGUGACGGACGCUAUUUGAAGAUUGUUGUUGUCGAGCAGGUUCCAUAUGAUGUUUUUGUAAUGUGUUUUGUAUGUAUUUUUUAUCGUUGAUUUCUCUGUUGCUGUCAUGCUGUUUCUCCAGUCUUGUUGUAGUCAGAAAUGUUGAUGCUGUAUUGAAUUGUGCUGUUCCCUUGACCCGGCAAUGGGUUGGGGUCCAUUUCAUUUAAAUUCAGAAAGUUUAGAAUUGAAAGGUUUCAUUUACUAUUAAAGAUGAGUUUUCCUUUGUUAAAUAGGUCAUUCCAAUUCACCUGAAUUUACUGAAUUUAGAUUCAAUUUACCCCUACCCAAAACGCUUCAAAUUUUGAUCAUGUAAAAAUUGUUCACCAAGUAAAUGUGAAUAAGAAGUGUCAGAAACAGCACAGACUCUAAACUCUAAACUCCCACACUCUUCUUCUUUACUGUCUAAAACCAGUCUGCCAACUACAAUAGCCUGCCAAAGUUACAUAAGGACACGGUUAGCUCCAGAAACCCCAAUCCUUGUCCCAAAUGACACCCUAUUCUCUACAUAGCACACUACUUAUGAACAGAGUCCUAUGGGCCCUGGUCAGAAGUAGUGUACUUUAGAGAAUUAGGGUGCCAUUUGGGACGUACACCUAGUCUCUUUUUGAACGCUCAAGCUCCAAAACUGUCCUCAAAGCUCUGUCACCGCAAACCCUGAGCCAUUAAAGUGGCACACACACAUGCUGAAAAAAGCACAAGAGUUCAAAGACUUUGAGAGCAAUUUACUAUAUGUGUCGAAGGAGUGGAAACCAGUCAUUUCCUUGACUUGCUACUGACUGUGGCGUUUUGAAGAUAUGGCCGCAGUUAGCCAAUGAGAUCCUCAGUAGCUUUUUAUUGUUUUACUCUCUCUCUUUCUAUUUUUCUCUUUCUGUGUCUCUGGUUUUGUCUCUCUCUGCUUCUCUAUCUCUCUGCCUCUCUCUCUCUGACUCUGUCAUUCUCUCUCUCUCCCUGUUUCCCCCAUCUCUUUCUCUCUCUCUUUUUCUCUUUAUUCUAUUUUCUUCCUCUCGUUCUCUUUCCUUUUCUUUUCUCUCUCUCUUUGUUUCCUUCACCCCUCCCUUUGUCUCGGUCAGCAAGGUUCUUGGCCGUGUUUUCGGGCCUGUUUUGCUUGCCUGCAGCCAACUAGACUAUGAAAAGUUCAUACGGAAUGUAAAUCGCGCCGUUCUGAUAUAUUUAUCUUUGUUUCCUGUCUUGGAGAAUGGGAAGUACAAAUGUGUCACCAUUCAAUUUCUUUUUCUGUUUUCUUUCUCUCAUUUUUGUUGUUGUUCUUUUCUUUUCUUGAUCCCUCUCUGUCUCUCUCUCUGCCUGUCUCUCUCUCUGCCUGUCUGUCUCUCUCUCUGCCUGUCUGUCUCUUUCUCUGCCUGUCUCUCUCUCUCUUUGCCUGUCUGUCUCUCUCUCUCUGCCUGUCUGUCUCUCUCUCUGCCUGUCUGUCUCUUUCUCUGCCUAUCUCUCUGUCUCUCUCUCUGCCUGUCUCUCUUCCUCUCUCUCUGCCUGUCUCUCUGUCUCUCUCUCUGCCUGUCUCUCUGUCUCUCUCUCUCUCUGUAUGUCUCUCUGUCUCUCUCUCUGCCUGUUGGUCUCUCUCUGCCUGUCUCUCUGUCUCUCUCUCUGCCUGUCUCUCUGUCUCUCUCUCUGCCUGUCUCUCUGUUGUUGUUGUUGUAAGGAACAUGUGCCUAUUUCUGUGACAUACUCUACAAUCUCACUACACCAGUUAUGUCUUGGUAGAUAGAAAACAGUUUCUGUGUGUGUGUGUGUGUGUGUGUGUGUGUGUGUGUGUGUGUGUGUGUGUGGGCAAAAAAAAGGAGAUUCAAUAAUUUCAUCCCUAUUCUCCAUCAACCAUCUUAUUUUCUACUGCCUGUCUUCUUUCUCUCCUUCUUUUACUGUCUUUCUUCAUGCUCUCAAUCAUCCAACAGAAACCAAGAACCAUACGCUCAUAUAUCUGUUCACUAAAACCUCAACUGGAAGAAGAAAUCCUAUACAGCUUUAUAUACUGUAGCAUGAGGGACCGGACAUUUUUGAAAUAUUUUCAACUUGCUUUGUUACGUUCUCUAUUCAUUUUGGGAAAGCCUUUGUCUUAUUAUGUUAAUGUUUUGUUUUUCUGUAAAAAAGUGUUUGUUUUGUAUAGGAAAUGACAUAAAAAAAGAAUAUGAAAAAAAUA